rnacentral:pre_miRNA from 1 species
AGUACAAUUACUAGAUGGUAUGGUAAGAGGAUGUUUAACUUUUGUAAGAAACCACCCAACUGUUGCAAAGUGGCUAUACCAUUUUACAUUCCCAUCAGCAAU